AUAUUGGUUUUUCCUAGGAACCCUUGAUUGUGAGACAAUGUGACCAUCGGUUUCUAAGGUUUUUGUAUUGAUUCUUGAAGGAGUCAUCGGAACUGGCGGCACUUGAAGCAUCCAAAGGAUUCGAGAGACGAUAAUGUUCCCUGUUUCAAAUCUUUUUGAGGUGCUCAGUUUUUCUGUCGACAAGGUGGUUGUGGCGUUUGAUUUAUAUGGUUAGGGUUUUCCAGAAUUGGGCUGACGGGAGAUCCGGGCACUCCAAAUAAGUGAGACAGGCAAGAGUGAGCUACUUCCGUACCAGCUUGAAGGAUUGAAUUUCUUACGUUUCUCAUGGUCUAAAGUCUAAACAAACACAUGUGAUACUUGCAGACGAAAUGGGUCUUGGGAAACGAUACAAAGUAUUGCUUUUUUGGCAUCGUUGUCUAAAGAGAAUGUCUCCCCUCAUUUAGUAGCACCGCUUUCUACAUUAAGGAAUUGGGAACAUUAAUUUGCUAUAUGGGCUGCUAAUAUGAAUGUUUCGCAUCUUCUCCACACGAAGAAGAAACAACCUUCACUUUCAGACGUUAUUGCGGUAAUUAUAUUCCAGUUUUCUCUUAUUACUUCAUAUUGCAGUUUUAUUCGCUGUUAAAAAGUUGUGUUUUUCAAGCAAACAACAAAGAAAUAGGAUGUUUUGUUUACGGUGCUACAGUUUUGAAGAAUAUAACAACAGCUAUUUGAAG